AAAGCGUGCGCAGGCGGUUUUGUAAGUUUGUCGUGAAAUCCCCGGGCUCAACCUGGGAAUGGCGAUGAAGACUGCAAGGCUAGAAUCUGGCAGAGGGGGGUAGAAUUCCACGUGUAGCAGUGAAAUGCGUAGAGAUGUGGAGGAACACCGAUGGCGAAGGCAGCCCCCUGGGUCAAGAUUGACGCUCAUGCACGAAAGCGUGGGGAGCAAACAGGAUUAGAUACCCUUGU
rnacentral:rRNA from 1 species